UCCUGUGAAAAGGUUUGUUUUGAAAAGACACAAUGCACGUAACAACUAUAAACUGAGACGCCAUCAGUGAACAUCCUGAACAAUCACAGGAGUGUCAUGACGUUUAGGUCCAGUGGCAGAGCGACAUGAUUUGCGACACGUUCUUUGUCACAUGUUUUGUCAGUGGACUUUCACGUCCACAUGUGACACAGUAGGUGUCCUGCUGCCAGCCGUGUAUCACAACACUGUGAAAGGUGAUUGGUGUGGUCAGGUGGUGGUUAGCGUGUGGUCAGGUGGUGGAUAACGUGUGGUCAGGUGGUGGUUAGCGUGUGGUCAGGUGGUGGAUAACGUGUGGUCAGGUGGUGGUUAGCGUGUGGUCAGGUGGUGGAUAACGUGUGGUCAGGUGGUGGUUAGCGUGUGGUCAGGUGGUGGAUAACGUGUGGUCAGGUGGUGGUUAGCGUGUGGUCAGGUGGUGGAUAACGUGUGGUCAGGUGGUGGUUAACGUGUGGUCAGGUGGUGGAUAACGUGUGGUUAGGUGGUGG